UAGAUUGACAGAUGUCAGUCUUGCUCCAUAUGCUUCCAUGUUAAGAGCUGAGCAUACCAGGACAUUGAAAAGAAAGAUUAUUUCACACAGUAUCAUAUCACCUACUUAUUCCUGCCUCCAGGAUCUUGCCUUGACUUCCUGCCCUGACUUCCCUUCAUGCUGGACUGCGGCUGGCGUAAAGCUUACACAUGGCGGUGGGGCUCAAGGAGGAGCCAGAAAAGGAAGACAGGAGGACUCCAGGGGCCAGCCACCCAGUUACACAGCAAGCUACGGAAUAAGAAGUAAAAAAAGCAAUCCCCCUAAUUUCUGCCUCACAUCUUCCAUAGCAGAUGUAACUCACAGAGCAGUGGUGUGGAGUCAUGGAGGCGGCAGCUCUGCCCUCCUGAUGCUGAUGGGAAUGGUUCUGCUGUUUCACCAUGAAGGAAGAUAUAGGCUCUCCAUACGAGGUGCUUCAUGUUGAGUAGCCUCCUGUAUCUGUCACCUGCCUCGUUGCUGUGACAAAACAUCUGAUGACAAGCAAACUCAAGAGCAAGUUUUUCCUGGGGGGAAAGAAUGGCAGCAGGCACUUGGGCAGCUGGUCACGUUGCACCUGCAGUCCGGAAGCAGGAAGACAUGUACAGUGAUGUUCAGCUCGCUUUCCAUAUUUUAUUUGUUCCAGGAUCCUCAUACUCACAAAGUUAGUGCAGGACACCAGAACCUAAUGGUACUCAUAAGGUGUCAUGUUCCUUUAGCUAGCCUAAUGAGAUGUGACAGCAACUGGGCUUAUAUUUCUUCUAGAACUUAGUCCUUGAAAAGAUGCUGUCAUAGUUAGAGUAGCUUCCUGCCACAAUUCACCUAAUCUAGAAAUGCUUGACAAGCAUGCCCAGAGGUUUGUCUCCCAGGUGAUGCUAGACCCUGUCAAGCUGAAAACCAAUAUUAGCCAUAACACUCCCAUCCCUAUUUUUCUCUGGAUUGCUUUUUUUCAAUUGUGCAUGAAUAUUGUAUUUUAUCUGAAUGCUUUUUGUCAACCAUUGUUAAUUAUCAUGUGGGUUUUCAUAUUGAAAAGCUGUCAGUAUAUUAAUAGACUUUUUUUUCUAACACUAAUCUGUCCUUGCUUCUCUAGAAUAAAACUGGUUUAACUGUGAUAG
rnacentral:lncRNA from 1 species